CCCAUCCUUUUCUUGGCGAUGCGGUACUGUACAAUGAAAGUCUAGUAAGCACAGUACUGCUAACCCUAAACAACACAUCCACCUCAGAUAGGGCUCUGCUGUACCCUGGUGCAGUUUUGAGGGG